rnacentral:rRNA from 1 species
GAUGAACGCUGGCGGCGUGCUUAACACAUGCAAGUCGAACGGAAAGGCCCAAGCUUGCUUGGGUACUCGAGUGGCGAACGGGUGAGUAACACGUGGGUGAUCUGCCCUGCACUUCGGGAUAAGCCUGGGAAACUGGGUCUAAUACCGGAUAGGACGAUGGUUUGGAUGCCAUUGUGGAAAGUUUUUCGGUGUUGGGUGAGGUCCCGGCCUAUCAGCUUGUUGGUGGGGUAAUGGCCUACCAAGGGGUCGUCGGGGAGCCGGCCUGGGAGGGUGUACGGCCACAUUGGGACUGAGAUACGGCCCAGACUCCUACGGGGGGCAGCAGUGGGGAAUAUUGCACAAUGGGCGCAAGCCUGAUGCAGCGACGCCGCGUGGGGGAUGACGGCCUUCGGGUUGUAAACUCCUUUCGCUAGGGACGAAGCGUUUUUGUGACGGUACCUGGAGAAGAAGCACCGGCUAACUACGUG